GAUGAACGCUAGCGGCAGGCCUAAUACAUGCAAGACGAACGGUAAGUUGAGUAGCAAUACUUAGCCAAGAGUGUCGUACGGGUGCGUAACACGUAUGCAACCUACCCUAUACAGGAGGAUAGCCUAGGGAAACCUGGAUUAACCCUUCAUAGUAUUAUUGAAUGGCAUCAUUUGAUAAUUAAAACUGAGGUGGUAUAGGAUGGGCAUGCGUCUGAUUAGUUAGUUGGCGGGGUAAUGGCCCACCAAGACGAUGAUCAGUAGGGGUUCUGAGAGGAAGAUCCCCCACACUGGCACUGAGAUACGGGCCAGACUCCUACGGGAGCAGCAGUAGGGAAUAUUGGUCAAUGGAUGCAAGUCUGAACCAGCCAUGCCGCGUGCAGGAAGAAGGCCCUUUCUGGGUUGUAAAACUGCUUUUGCCAGGGGAUAAAAAUUUCCAUGCGUGGAAAACUGAAGGUACCUGGUGAAUAAGCCACGGCUAACUACGUGCCAGCAGCCGCGGUAAU
rnacentral:rRNA from 1 species